rnacentral:rRNA from 1 species
AUGAACGCUGGCGGCGUGCCUAAUACAUGCAAGUCGCGCGAACGGACGAGAAGCUUGCUUCUCUGAUGUUAGCGGCGGACGGGUGAGUAACACGUGGAUAACCUACCUAUAAGACUGGGAUAACUUCGGGAAACCGGAGCUAAUACCGGAUAAUAUUUUGAACCGCAUGGUUCAAAAGUGAAAGACGGUCUUGCUGUCACUGAUAGAUGGAUCCGCGCUGCAUUAGCUAGUUGGUAAGGUAACGGCUUACCAAGGCAACGAUGCAUAGCCGACCUGAGAGGGUGAUCGGCCACACUGGAACUGAGACACGGUCCAGACUCCUACGGGAGGCAGCAGUAGGGAAUCUUCCGCAAUGGGCGAAAGCCUGACGGAGCAACGCCGCGUGAGUGAUGAAGGUCUUCGGAUCGUAAAACUCUGUUAUUAGGGAAGAACAUAUGUGUAAGUAACUGUGCACAUCUUGACGGUACCUAAUCAGAAAGCCACGGCUAACUACGUG